rnacentral:rRNA from 1 species
UUAAAUUGAAGAGUUUGAUCAUGGCUCAGAUUGAACGCUGGCGGCAGGCCUAACACAUGCAAGUCGAACGGUAACAGGAAGCAGCUUGCUGCUUUGCUGACGAGUGGCGGACGGGUGAGUAAUGUCUGGGAAACUGCCUGAUGGAGGGGGAUAACUACUGGAAACGGUAGCUAAUACCGCAUAACGUCGCAAGACCAAAGAGGGGGACCUUCGGGCCUCUUGCCAUCGGAUGUGCCCAGAUGGGAUUAGCUUGUUGGUGGGGUAACGGCUCACCUAGGCGACGAUCCCUAGCUGGUCUGAGAGGAUGACCAGCCACACUGGAACUGAGACACGGUCCAGACUCCUACGGGAGGCAGCAGUGGGGAAUAUUGCACAAUGGGCGCAAGCCUGAUGCAGCCAUGCCGCGUGUAUGAAGAAGGCCUUCGGGUUGUAAAGUACUUUCAGCGGGGAGGAAGGGAGUAAAGUUAAUACCUUUGCUCAUUGACGUUACCCGCAGAAGAAGCACCGGCUAACUCCGUGCCAGCAGCCGCGGUAAUACGGAGGGUGCAAGCGUUAAUCGGAAUUACUGGGCGUAAAGCGCACGCAGGCGGUUUGUUAAGUCAGAUGUGAAAUCCCCGGGCUCAACCUGGGAACUGCAUCUGAUACUGGCAAGCUUGAGUCUCGUAGAGGGGGGUAGAAUUCCAGGUGUAGCGGUGAAAUGCGUAGAGAUCUGGAGGAAUACCGGUGGCGAAGGCGGCCCCCUGGACGAAGACUGACGCUCAGGUGCGAAAGCGUGGGGAGCAAACAGGAUUAGAUACCCUGGUAGUCCACGCCGUAAACGAUGUCGACUUGGAGGUUGUGCCCUUGAGGCGUGGCUUCCGGAGCUAACGCGUUAAGUCGACCGCCUGGGGAGUACGGCCGCAAGGUUAAAACUCAAAUGAAUUGACGGGGGCCCGCACAAGCGGUGGAGCAUGUGGUUUAAUUCGAUGCAACGCGAAGAACCUUACCUGGUCUUGACAUCCACGGAAGUUUUCAGAGAUGAGAAUGUGCCUUCGGGAACCGUGAGACAGGUGCUGCAUGGCUGUCGUCAGCUCGUGUUGUGAAAUGUUGGGUUAAGUCCCGCAACGAGCGCAACCCUUAUCCUUUGUUGCCAGCGGUCCGGCCGGGAACUCAAAGGAGACUGCCAGUGAUAAACUGGAGGAAGGUGGGGAUGACGUCAAGUCAUCAUGGCCCUUACGACCAGGGCUACACACGUGCUACAAUGGCGCAUACAAAGAGAAGCGACCUCGCGAGAGCAAGCGGACCUCAUAAAGUGCGUCGUAGUCCGGAUUGGAGUCUGCAACUCGACUCCAUGAAGUCGGAAUCGCUAGUAAUCGUGGAUCAGAAUGCCACGGUGAAUACGUUCCCGGGCCUUGUACACACCGCCCGUCACACCAUGGGAGUGGGUUGCAAAAGAAGUAGGUAGCUUAACCUUCGGGAGGGCGCUUACCACUUUGUGAUUCAUGACUGGGGUGAAGUCGUAACAAGGUAACCGUAGGGGAACCUGCGGUUGGAUCACCUCCUUACCUUAAAGAAGC